UACAGAGGUCUCAAGCGUUGUUCGGAUUCAUUGGGCGUAAAGGGUGUGUAGGUGGCGCGCUAAGUCGGGUGUGAAAUUUCGGAGCUUAACUCCGAAACUGCAUUCGAUACUGGCGUGCUUGAGGACUGGAGAGGAGACUGGAAUUCAUGGUGUAGCAGUGAAAUGCGUAGAGAUCAUGAGGAAGACCAGUGGCGAAGGCGGGUCUCUGGACAGUUCCUGACACUGAGACGAAGGCCAGGGGAGCAAACGGG
rnacentral:rRNA from 1 species